rnacentral:misc_RNA from 1 species
GCUUUUGCUCUGGGGUCCCAUAAUCAUCCGCCAUUAACAAGGAUUUUGAUUUUUAGCUAAAAAGGACCAGACAUGUCUGGAAUUAUAGGUCGAACAAUGGCCAGUAGAAGGAUUUCUGAUUUGAACAAGUUCUUGGUGGGAAGUAGACUAUUUGCAUCUAGAACUUACUCUUCCGCAGUUAAAGAGAUGACAGUGCGUGACGCAUUAAAUUCAGCUCUAGAUGAAGAAAUGUCUGCGGAUCCUAAGGUCUUCGUUAUGGGGGAAGAGGUUGGUGAGUACCAGGGUGCCUAUAAGAUUACAAAGGGACUUCUGGCAAAAUAUGGUCCGCAAAGGGUUAUCGAUACACCAAUUACUGAGGCUGGAUUUACU